rnacentral:rRNA from 1 species
UGGGGGAUAUUGCACAAUGGGCGAAAGCCUGAUGCAGCGACGCCGCGUGGGGGAUGAAGGCCUUCGGGUUGUAAACUUCUUUUGCUCUGAACAAGGCAUGCUAAUGGGUGUGUUGAGUGUAGGGGUUGAUUAGCGCCGGCUAACUACGUGCCAGCAGCCGCGGUAAUACGUAGGGCGCGAGCGUUGUCCGGAAUUAUUGGGCGUAAAGGGCUUGUAGGUGGCUGGUUGCGUCUGUCGUGAAAGCUCAUGGCUUAACUGUGGGUUUGCGGUGGGUACGGGCUGGCUUGAGUGCAGUAGGGGAGGCUGGAAUUCCUGGUGUAGCGGUGGAAUGCGCAGAUAUCAGGAGGGAUACCGGUGGCGAAGGCGGGUCUCUGGGCUGUUACUGACACUGAGGAGCGAAAGCAUGGGGAGCGAACAGG